rnacentral:pre_miRNA from 1 species
AAACUACUCCCUCCGUCCCGAAAUUCUUGUCUUAGAUUUGUCUAGAUACGGAUGUAUCAAGUCACGUUUUAGUAUUAGAUACAUCCGUAUCUAGACAAAUGUAAGACAAGAAUUUUGGGACGGAGGGAGUACUAA